ensembl:lncRNA
CAAAGUCAUUUGCCACUGAGGGAAUAAUAAAUUGCCAAUAUAUCCGUGGAGAAAUGCAUCUCCGUCACCAUCUGUGAGUUAAUGGUGAGUGUGGGUAUCGCUUGAUGUGAAAGCAAAUGAAACCCAGAGAGGACGAGCCGUGUUCUGGCCCCGGGGACUCAAGGGCUUGUCCUUUAACAGGAUUAUUGAGAGAUGUUAACUGAUGGACUGGAGUGCUGUGGAUUACUUGUGGAUUAUUGUGAUGUUUUUAUCAGCUGUUUGGACUCUCAUUCUGACGGCACCCAUUCACUGCAGAGCAUCCAUUGAUGAGACACUGAUGCAGUGCUGCAUUUCUACAAACCUGAUGAAGAAACACACUCAUCCUGAUCGCAGAUGAACUGAGGUGAGCACAUUUCCA